rnacentral:lncRNA from 1 species
UUCAUUAGUUUUGUGAAGUAAAAACUUUUAAGGCAUGUGUCACCUAUUGACAUUUCAGCAAGUUGCGCUUAGAUAAAUUUUUAACUGUAGACAUUUUUAGAUUCGCACACCAUGUAUGUCAUGUAAAUUUAUAAGGUUUGUAAUUUGAACUUAUGAGUUGGUAAAAGGUUGAAUAGUAAGACAUACUGUAGUGAGGUUUUGAUGGAAAGAGAAGACAGUUUCCAAAUAUGGACUUUGAAAUUUCUAUAAGCAGCUUUAAUUCUACCAAGAUCCGGUGAAAGUAACAGUUUUGGAAGACAGGACGAGAACAGGUGGAAUUCAUUAAUCUUUAACAAUACAAACGUGUAAGCCUCAUCAGUGUUAAUGUUUACAUGAAGUUAAUCGCCUUUAGUUUCAUGUGUUUUUACUCCCAAAUAUUUUCAAUCCUUUCACAACUACAUAGAAAAGUUUUAGUAUUAUUUUUUUCGUUUACUUUCGAAUAAUUUUCGUUUGAGUGACUUCUGGUAUAUAAAAUAACAAUUAGAAGACUAUUUUUUAAUAGUGAAACCAUUAUUUGAGUUUUCAUUUUAUAAUUAGGAUAUGAACAAACGGCAUCUUAUAAUAAAAUUUUAUGUGAACAGCAAUAGUCAUUCGAUUAUCAGGAUUAAGUGAACACUAGUAGUAGAUACUAGCAGACAGCAGUGGUCAAUUUGUAAUACAGAAUCAUACGAAAUUAGGACAGCAGUAGUCACUUUAUCAUCAGGAUACGAGCGGACAAUAGUAGUUCUCUUAUCACCAGAAUACGAGCAGACAGCAGUGGUCACUUUGUAAUUAUGAAUCGUGAAAUGAGGACAGCAGUAGUCACUUUAUCAUCAUGAUACAAGCAGAUAAUAGUAGUCCCCUUAUCACCAAGAUACGAGCAGACAGCAGUGGUCACUUUGUAAUUAUGAAUCGUGAAAUGAGGACAGCAGUAGUCUCUUUAUCAUCAUGAUACAAGCAGACAAUAGUAGUCCGCUUAUCACCAAGAUACGAGCAGACAGCAGUGGUCACUUUGUAAUUAUGAAUCAUACGAAAUGAGGACAACAGUAGUCAUUUUAUCAUCAGGAUACGAGCAGACAGCAGUGGUCACUUUGAAAUUAUGAAUCAUACGAAAUGAGGACAGCAGUAGUCACUUUAUCAUCAGGAUACGAGCAGACAGUAGUAGUCCCCUUGAGUGAUUUCUUGUCUGGAUUUUACAAGCAUUUUUGUGUCUAUAAACUUUGCUAUAUGGGACAUUUUAGUUCAUUAGAAAUGUUUAAAUUCACCGCAAGAUGUUGUAGGUGCAGGAGUUAACUCUCAUGAAGAUUCUGUUUAUUGUUACCUUUGUUAGCUUCAUAUAUAUAUUAUUUUGAAGCUUAACAGCUCUUUUUUUCUUUUCUUAUUGGCACGUCCUUUAUUUCGUGUAUAUGAAAAUGUUCCUGCAUUACACGGUUUCAAUUAUAAAUUGUUUAACCAGAAUGAAAGAUUGAUCCGUAAAAAAAAAAACACGUAACUCCGUUAUUGUUAGAGAACACCUACAAUUAUACAAAGUAGACAUUCUGUCGAGAAAGAACGGUAAUUAUCUGCAGACUGUUUGAGCUACAUUUAUCCACAAACAUUUCUUGAAUUUUCCAGGUAUGAGCCAUUGCUGUUUACACGACUCUGGCAGUACAAUAAUUGAUCGAUGUUUUACCGCUUUCCACGCCAGCGGGGUGUCGAAACAUAGUGUCCUCUAAUAAUCAAUGCAGUUCUGUGUUAUGUAGCGCCACGGUAACGAGGGUGUUACAUGUUUCAAUGUAACACAACUGAUAAAUAUAAGUAUCGGUAACGUUGUUGAAAAACUGCUCCGGAACAUUGUUGUUUAAUUGAUAUAGAAUAGAAAACAUUGUUGGUUAGUUAAGUGAUGUAGAAUAGAAAACAUUGUUGGUUGAUUGAUAUAGAAUAGAAAACAUUGUUGGUUAAGUGAUGUAGAAUAGAAAACAUUGUUGGUUGAUUGAUAUAGAAUAGAAAACAUUGUUGGUUAAUUGAUAUAGAAUAGAAAACAUUGUUGGUUGAUUGAUAUAGAAUAGAAAAUAUUGUUGGUUAAUUAAAUGAAAAAUAUAUUCACAGUAAAGUGAUUUAUAAUAAACAAAUAAAACUAAAGGCUAUGACAAACAGGAACCUUAGUAGGUAACCUAAUGAAAAUCUUAACUGUUUACUUAUUUCAUAGUGUUUUAAAAACUGAUUUUUCACAUUAACUGUUCGAUUAACAUUUCUGCCUAAAGACCGUGCAAGUUUGAUGGCCGAAAGCUUGUGUAAGUAAAACAAUUAAACGUGUAAAUAAUCAUGUACGUUCAUUAUAUGAUUCAUAUCGUACAUUGUCGGCUAUAAACAUUAUCAAUGUGGGCCUAAUUUAACUAGUAUUGGAAAGCGUAUAAAUAUAUUGCGGUGAAUACCUAUAAGUAUGAAUUGUGGUGGUAUUCUCGCUGUAAGAUAUUGUAUUGUUGAGAAUAUGCUAUAUCAGUUGAGAUAAUAGUUAAACAUCAAAGUUAACAAAGUGUUAACAGUGCUUUCACCUGCAAGAAAUAAUGGACGACACGUUUUCAAAUUGUGUUUCAUAGAAAACCCAUUGCGUUGUAAUUACGUAAUGUCUUUACAGAACACAGAGAGGUCACGGCUAAUUAAACAACAGAAAAUAAUGUUGGUUAACUUGUCGCUGUAAUGAAUUAGGAUAGUUGUGUUUAUUAGCUGGUUUCUUCAAGGUUUUUGCGAGGCAAUUCUAGUUCAAGAUUUUCUUCCCUUGACAACCUUGGUCUUGUUACGUACAACUUAUAAUUUGAAAGUUCUGAGAAAACACGAACAAAUGAACAAUAUGAUGCCAUGCAUCAGUACACGCGGGAGUCUUCAAAACAGGACAAAGAUCUCGAAUCUACUUCGGUUAAUAAUCUUCACGAAGAUGAUCUACAGAACAUAAGACGAAACAAUGAUCACGAAUUUACUUGGAUAAAUGAUCUGCACGAAGAUGAUCUAGAAAACAUAAGACGAAACAAAGAUCACGGAUUUACUUGGGUAAAUGAUCUGCACGAAGAUGAUCUACAGAACAUAAGACGAAACAUAGAUCACGGAUUUACUUGGAUAAAUGAUCUGCACGAAGAUGAUCUAGAGAACAUAAGACGAAACAAAGAUCGCAGAUCUACUUGGGUAAAUGAUCUACACGAAGAAGAUCUUCAAAUAUUAUCGGGAUAAAGGGUUAGGGUCUACUUGGG